CACGAACCGUACGAACGUUAUCCGGAUUUACUGGGUUUAAAGGGUGCGUAGGUGGGUCUGUAAGUCAGUGGUGAAAUCUCCGAGCUUAACUCGGAAACUGCCAUUGAUACUAUAGGUCUUGAAUUAUCUGGAGGUAAGCGGAAUAUGUCAUGUAGCGGUGAAAUGCUUAGAUAUGACAUAGAACACCAAUUGCGAAGGCAGCUUACUACGGAUUGAUUGACACUGAGGCACGAAAGCGUGGGGAUCAAACAGG
rnacentral:rRNA from 1 species